UCCUCGACAACCCUCGGUCAUCCUUGUAAGUAAUUUUCUAAUUAAUUUUUUUUAAUACAUUUUCUUAAUUAAUACUCCAUCGCCUAAUUCUGAUCGUUCAUUUUGGCAGCAGUCGUCGUCAGUCUAGAAUUCAGAAUAAAAGAAGGUUUCUCGAGGAGAUCACGUUUCCACUACAAAGUUCGUCGAACGACUAUCGUAUUCAAUAAGGUCCUGCAUGCAUUAAAAAGCUUCGGAAUUCGCAUGUCGGACCAGUUUUCAUCGUCGUCUACUUCUCCGGCUGUUGUUUUACACAUUGUCAUCGCUAUAGCUUCGAUACGGAAUAUUUUCUUGCGUAAAGAAGAUUUUAGCCGGUGAAAAUUACAUCUUCGAGCCAGGAUUUUAUAGGGCUUUGUUUUUCUUAGAUUCUUGUAAAGUGAAUAACCUUGUGUUUGGUUAUAUUCAUUAUUACCAUUGUUUCUUUCUUGGUUCUUUUCUCAUCUGUGAGCUCAAAUGUGUUAGUAAUAAAAGCUAUAUUACAGUCUUUCCAAACAACUCCUUAAAGUUAUAUAUAUACAUAUAUAUUUACAACCAC
rnacentral:lncRNA from 1 species